rnacentral:rRNA from 1 species
CUACGGGUGGCUCCAGUGAGGAAUAUUGCACAAUGGGGGGAACCCUGAUGCAGCAACGCCGCGUGGAGGAUGACGCAUUUCGGUGUGUAAACUCCUUUUAUAUGUCAAGAAAAUGACGGUAGCAUAUGAAUAAGCACCGGCUAACUCCGUGCCAGCAGCCGCGGUAAUACGGAGGGUGCAAGCGUUACUCGGAAUCACUGGGCGUAAAGGACGCGUAGGCGGGCUUGUAAGUCAGGUGUGAAAUCCUACAGCUUAACUGUAGAACUGCACUUGAAACUACGAGCCUAGAGUAUGGGAGGGGCAGAUGGAAUUAGUGGUGUAGGGGUAAAAUCCGUAGAUAUCACUAGGAAUACCUAAAGCGAAGGCGAUCUGCUGGAACAUAACUGACGCUAAGGCGUGAAAGCGUGGGGAGCAAACAGGAUUAGAUACCCGGGUAGUC